CACGUAGGGUGCGAGCGUUGUCCGGAAUUAUUGGGCGUAAAGAGCUCGUAGGCGGUGUGUCGCGUCGGCCGUGAAAACCUGCAGCUUAACUGUGGGCUUGCGGUCGAUACGGGCAUCACUGGAGUUCGGCAGGGGAGACUGGAAUUCCUGGUGUAGCGGUGAAAUGCGCAGAUAUCAGGAGGAACACCGGUGGCGAAGGCGGCGACCUGGGUAGAUACUGACGCUGAGGCGCGAAAGCGUGGGGAGCGAACAGG
rnacentral:rRNA from 1 species